GGCCGAGAUAGCUCAGUC
rnacentral:tRNA from 2 species